UUCCCCAUUCUCUCCUCCCGUUCCCUCAGCCGCCACCACUCCACCAAUCUUCCUCCACCCGCUCCAUGCCGCCACCGCCGCAGAAUAGGCCUCACCUCUCCCGAUCCAUCGACCCCUCUCUUCUCCCCUCUAUGUGUGUCACCCUCUCCCCAUCUUUCCCACGGCCAUGGCCACUAGCCCGUACCCCCACCCCAGUCUAGAUCAUGCCCUCGAGCUAUGGCGGUAGUGGUCGCGGCGGGUCCAUUUCCUCCCAGCGCAGAUUAAUCUACCUUCCUCGGUUGCACUCGAACAGCGCAAACCAAUGAUGCACUGUCCAUCUCAACUAGAUCGACGCCAAUGAGAAGGCCAAGGUGGCGGUAGCGGCGGUGAGCUCAUCAUUCCCUACCACCGGAUUUGGAAGUCUCUAAUGUCCCGUGCGGCGGUCAUAUAUCCAUCUUCGGUCGGCGGCGAGCUAUGGUGAGAUACAGGUGGCGCCGCAGCCACGGAUCUAGCCACUCCCUUCUGCCACCCGCGCUGCAGCGACGGGCGCUGCCUCUGCGGCUUUGCCAGGGGCCUCUGCCCGGCGCUUACAUGUUGCUCCUCGUCCUCAUCUCCGUGGGAAUGGAUUUCUUGGAAGUUGGCCUUGUAGCAUUUCCGCUUCAAGAAAAUGGAGCCAGUGGUUAUGAUCUGUUUUGGCACACAACUUAAUUUGUUAUCUCUAAAACUGUAGCGAGUGUUGAUGUACUGCUCAAGGUAUGUUACUGCUUAGUCUUUAUGAUUUAGCUAGAUUUUUCGUGAUUCUGUGAUAUACUUGCAUGCUUCAUUCUUAAUUAAGAUAUACUAUGUUGCCAAUCCUUCGCUCGUUGGACGUACCCUGAGAUGCACGAUGUGGUCGCCAAUGAGGCGCUCGAGCAGGGGCUCGAGGAGUAGUCCAACUAGCCCACACUCCCGCAGCUCUACAUCGAUGUCGAGUUCACUGGUGGCUGCGACAUCACUGUCGGUGUAUCUCCCUAGCUUUUUAAACAAUUGACUAGUUAAAGAGUAAAAGAAGGACCAAUACUCACACAGGCAAUAUUGAGGAUGGGUUGAUGUGAGAUAUUCGCAUAUAAGGUUUUCCUUGCAAUGAAGUUGGUGGCCACGGCUGGAUCCGCGUCCAAAAAUGCAUGGGGAUGACCCCUGGUUGUCAUUCGACCAGCCUUCAGCAGGUCUGUGGUGCUGCAGAAUUAACACAGGGUUUUGUAGCUUUAAGUUUAUUUUUUGCUAGUACGUAUUUGACAUAUGUAUUGUUCGGCUAUAACUGUAAUUUUAAGUUUUCCGCUAGUACUUGACAGAUGUACUUUUCUUUUAUUGAAUGACAUGAGCAUAUAUUUUAUGAAAUGAGACCGACAUU